rnacentral:rRNA from 1 species
UAGGGAAUCUUCCACAAUGGACGAAAGUCUGAUGGAGCAACGCCGCGUGAGUGAAGAAGGUUCUCGGAUCGUAAAACUCUGUUGUGAGGGAAGAACAAGUACCGGAGUAACUGCCGGUACCUUGACGGUACCUCAUUAGAAAGCCACGGCUAACUACGUGCCAGCAGCCGCGGUAAUACGUAGGUGGCAAGCGUUGUCCGGAAUCAUUGGGCGUAAAGCGCGCGCAGGCGGUCCCUUAAGUCUGAUGUGAAAGCCCACGGCUCAACCGUGGAGGGUCAUUGGAAACUGGGGGACUUGAGUGCAGAAGAGGAAAGCGGAAUUCCAAGUGUAGCGGUGAAAUGCGUAGAGAUUUGGAGGAACACCAGUGGCGAAGGCGGCUUUCUGGUCUGUAACUGACGCU